UUUUGCUUGCUUUUUUUGGUUUGUUGCUUAGGUUCCACUUAAAGGGCUUUUCUGAUACCACCAAGAAAGAUCUACCUCCUCUGUUUUGCAUAACACUCUGUAUAUAGUGCAUCUUAUGAUUUACACUUAUCAUUUAUUAAUGAUUUAUAUUGUGAAUAUUCUCUCUCUGAAGCCACUCUGCUUGAAACCAUUAGCUUUCAUAAGACACAGUGUUAUCGAAGACUUUGCAGAGCUAAUCCGCCUUGAUGUCGCACGUCUCUUUGCUGCCCCAUCUAUAUGACGAAUAAUUGAUUUGUCAAACAUAAUACUAAACUUUUCAUUAAAGAACCAUACUGUACUAGAUGCCAAUCUAAAAUAUGCCAGUACAGACUAGUAGUUUCCACUGGAUGCAUCCUACCUCUUCAUUUAAGCAUCCACCCCAGACAACCCAAAAAGUCAGCCUCCAGAUUUUCGAUUCUGUUUUAGUAACUGGGGGGGGGUUCAGACCAAAUCAUUGUGUGAUUAUCUACAUGCAAGUCUUAUGUUCAAAACGCGUUGUUCUGUUUUCACUUUUAGGAUAUACUAUGGAAUGCAACCUAGUUGCAAAAUAUCAUUUGUUCAGUGCACAUAUAUUUUAACUAAGCUCAAUCCUGACAACCAAUUUCAGCCUAAAACAAAAUAAAGCAGAAAAACAUGCUGUUUAAAAAUAUAUAUAUAUAUAAUUUUUUCUUGCUCAUAAAAUAAAUAGAAAGUGGCCUGUUCAUUUCUGACUCUGAGUUGACAGGCCUGAAGAGUUGCUACUAGAAAGGCAAUAAUGUCACCAGUCGCAUGAGUCCUUGGCUCUUCCGAAGACUGUCUUAUGACCAAGGAAAGGUUAAAGCAUUGAGAAAAGGUAGAACAGGCCAUCUCUCUAAAUUUAUUUUAAAUUUAAAGCAAACAGCAAUCCUCAUCUUUAUCGUAAAUAAAAUGUUUAGAGGCAUCCGAUUCUUCCACUGUUGAUAGCCCCCUGUUCCGAACUGUACCUCUGGGCAUAAACAGGCCCAACAAAAGCCAAGUGACAUUGAAGAAUAUUAUUUCCCAUGAAAAAGAUAUGGUGCAUCUAUAUAGCUGUUCUUUGGGUUACAGAGUAAAUAAAGUACCUCUUUAUAUAAAAGGGGAAAAAAAAGCUUAAGCUAGAUGAAGAUAUAGAGAGUUGAUAUGAGAAGCUAUAUACUUGUCUUUAUCAGUAAUGUGAAUAUGUUAUAACAGGACCCUGUUAAUUCCUUGAUUGUUCAUUUAUAUAAAUGACUCUAUAUUCCUAUUCAUAUUUUUAUGCCGUCUAUGGAGAUAAAACUGUCACAUGGUUAUUUCCCCCUCUAUGUCAUAGGGUAAAUUGUAUCCCUCUCCAAAACUUUUAUGUUAAAAUCCUAACCCUCAAUCCUCUAGAAUGUGGCUGUCUUUCGAGAUAGGAUCUUUACAGAGGUCAUUAAGUUCAAGUUAGGUUAUUAGGGUGGGCCCUCCUCCAAUAUCUCUUGUAUCCUUAUAAGAAGAGGAGAUGUGGGCACAGACAUGUACAGAGAGAGGUCCACGUGAAGUCGGUGGGACACAAGGGCCUCUCACAAGCCAAAGAGAGAUAGGCCCAGAACCAGCGUUUUCCUCAUGGCCCUUAGACACUGAACCCACUGACACCUUGGUCUUGAAUUUCUAGCCUCCAGAA